AAUGCUGCUGCCUGUAAAGGGAAGGGAGUCUGGGUUUGGUGCCUUUCCUGCUCAACGGCAGCUUGGAUUUGUGCCUCCCACCUUCCAGCAGUUCUUGUUGGGGCUUGAGCACCUGCAAGCUGCUGCCUGGAGUAAAGGAAGGUCCCACCAGCUUCUCUGUGUCCAGGGAGCCCUGGAGGGGUACCAUGUGUGGUAAUCUUGUUCCAUGGAAAGGUUUCAGAGGAGAAUGGGAAAAUUCAAUGUGUCAAAAGCAGGAAGGUUCCAAGGCAAGGGACAUCCAUGUGGAACAAGAGGUGAAGAGCAGGAGCGAGCCCAGCACUGAGACAAACACUGGGCACCAUGAUUCCUUUACUGGUUCUCCUGGGAAUUUCCUCUGUGCUGCAGAGCUGGUCUGCUUGCCUCUCUGUACUUCAUAUAGGUGCUGCUCUUUUUGUCCAGUGUUUUGGUUGGAGGCAGGAUCUGAGCAUCUGUUCUGCUUCUGCAGCACUAUAGUCACUGCUGACCACCAAGAAACUGCAUCAGAAUAACUGACUAACUUAUUCAGUUUUGACUGAAAAUUUAGACAAAAGAAAAUAAUUUAAUUUUUGGCAGCCCUACCUUUUGCUUUUAUCUUCUAGAAUAAUUUGCUAUGACAUAUAUUUGCCAGUGUUUGAGUCAGUCUAGCCCUGGAUGUUUAUCAGCUGUCCAUCAGAGAAAUCAGUUCAACUCUAUAACAGCAAAAGAAAAGUCUGCUGAAAAUUACUUUGAUGGCUAAAUUAGCAUUUGAUCAGUUUAAAAACACAGAGGCUGGCAGGAUUUGGAAAUAUAUUGGUCAUUUGACUUUUUCUUGUCAUAAAUAUGUUUUAAGUGCAGCACAAUAAAGAAGAAUGCAUCAGAUCUUCAUGGGUAUAAAAAUUUAUUUUGAAGAGUCUGUAGACCUAAACUUAAAGGUGCAUUAUUUUGUAUCAGUAAAGGGCUGCUCAAUGUGGUCAUAAUUUUUGUCACCUAGUUAGAACCAGGAAGAAAUGUGAAAAUAUGAGGGGAUAUCCUUAAGGAAUUUACCUGAGAACAAAAUGCUGUUAUAGCUGUAGAAUUCAAAUAGUCAUAUAUGGAUUAAAGAAAUAAAAAUAUCCUUAAGGAUUAUAAGUUAGUAUAGAAAGUUCCAAAAAUUAGUUUGACAAUCAUAGUAGCUGAGUAAAUCUGAUUCCAUAUAAAUCAAAGGUCAAUAACUAGGCAGGCAACCCUGGAAAGGUUUCAAGAGAAUAAAGGAACAUUUGUUGGGAGGGAAUGAAAAGAUGCUUGAAAAGAAAGGCAAGAACAACAACAAAAAAGAAACAAAAAAGGAAAAAAUCCAAGAUUUACAGGCUGUUGCUUGUAGCUGGAGCAAAACCACAGUGCAAGGGUGAUAAUGGAAGGUGAGCCCAGGAACUGCUCAGCUUUGGAGCCUUGGUGCCAGGAUAUUUUAGGACCACAUUGCUCUCUCUUUUCAACCAGUGUUAAAGUAAUGUGAGAAGCGUGAUGUGCAAGCCAGCCCUGGACAGGGGCAGUUCUGGCUCCUGCCAGGGAAGGAACACGGGCGAGGGCAAUGAGCUGGGAGCUGCAGCUCCCGCUGGACAGGUGGGACUGAGCCCUGGAGGGUCUGGGCUGGUUGCAGGGAUGGGGACACUCCUGGGCAGAGACAUCAGCUCCAGAGAUGGCACAGAGCUCGAUGUGAGGUAAAAGCAUGAAGUGAGCUGGUACAACCACAUCCCUGCAGCCUGGAGAGACAAAUUCAGGUGGACAUUGCAUCCCUGGGACACUGAUAAGGCUGUUAUCAUUUUUCUCCACUUGAGUUUUUCUUUCAGUGUGGAUGAAGAAGUAUUAAACCAAACCAUGCUAUUUAUCUGUUUAAAAAAGCUGUUUUGAC